GUAGUAAAGAAGUGAUGAUCCAGGCAGGAAAUGACUCAUACAUAAACAAGGGAAGAAGGAAGUGGGCCCCUUCUUCUCUCCUCCUCCAGAGUCACCAUGUGAUCCCAGGAUGAGGACACCAAUGGAAGGCGUCUGAUAACAUAAUAGGAUGCCAUGAGCUUGAACCGAUGUUUGGCUGAGGGUCUCAGCAUCUGUUUCCACCAGUUACUGGAUGAAGCCUCUCUGAUGAUGGUUGGGCCCUCUGUAGUUUUUAAGAAGUCUGGACUUGGUGGGAGAUCUUGAAGAAAAGCAAAAGAGAUACAGAAACAGGACAGAAGAACUCUGGAAACUUAAUUACAAAUUGUGGAACAGGAAAGAAACAUCUAGAUGCACAGCCUAUAAAAUAACUAACUCCUGCUUUUCUUUCAAAAAUCACAUCCCUGUUACACGUAACUUCUUGAGCCAUUUAUGAUUAUUUUCUAUUAAUUUGUCAUUUUCUAUGGGUAUAAUAAGUGGCUUAAGAUAAAAGUAGUUUGGGACUCAUAUAUUAUUAAACACAAUAUAAAGAUGUUAAUAUAAUUGUUAAUAAUAUCCAUGCUAUAUAAAGACAAAUUUUUACUUUUUCCAUUUAACAAGUGAAGCAUACUGUUUCAUUUACUUUAAAUUAAUUAUGUAAUAAAAGCAUGAGUUGUCAACA
rnacentral:lncRNA from 1 species